GCAGAGGAUGCAAGUCUGGACUGGAACGGGGGAAACAGAGAGGUGGACAGACCCCAAAUUCUACAUUUAUCAGAGCCAUUCAUAACUAGUACUUCAGAUAAACAUGAAGGAGUAUCCUUGAUUUCAAGAAGGAAAAGAAAAAGGAAUCACAUCAGCUAUUUUUGUUUAAUAUAUUUUGGUUUAUUUGAAUAUAUUAAUAUUUCAGUCUCCAAAUAUUUCUCAUUCUCAACUCUAUCAUUUAAAUUAACUUAACUUUCGUUUACUUCUCAUGUUACUUAGCUAAGAAUAUAUAAUUAGAACUAUUGUAUUGCUUAUAAAUUCCUAAUGAAUACCAAAACCAAGGACAAUAGUAACUUUCUAAGUCUGUUAUCAAUUUACUAACAAUAACAUCUGCUUUAAGAAAGGGAAAUCUCUCAAGUUUUCUGGUAGUGUUCCUGAAUAGAAUCUUCCAGGACAGACACAAGUAGGAUAUUUGGAAGGUGGAAAAAUAAACAGAAUAUAUUUUCUCCAGAGGUAGUUAUGGAACCAGAGAGAUUCUCCGAGCAGCUAAAGAAAACUUGUAGCAGGCACCUGCUUUGGUCCCCUGGCGCUGAGGUGCUGGCCAGCCUCUCUCAGAAUCACUGGUACUUGUGAAUGGAAGAAUUUCCAGUGGAUUCUCAGAAUUCAGAGCAGCCUCUGUGGAAAGCCUCUUGCAAAACCUCUUGAUCUGAUGGGACAGGAUGAGGCCCUCAACGACGGCAUAUGGCUUCUUUGAUUUUUCCUCUAUCUGAUAUUUAUAAGAGAUUUUGGAGAUUGCAGCCCGUGCUCAGCUGGAUCCAUGGCAGAGUGGCGUGGCUGAGAGCCAACUGUUCACGGCAGCCAUCGCAAUAAGAGCAAACAGGCAUGAAGUGGUAAGGCCAGCCUCCCUCCUCCCUGGACCGUAUGCCGGUUACCCACCCCUGAGGGGUGCAGCACUCACACUGCCAAUCCCAGUGACAGACAAGGAACCAAUCACUAACUACACUCAGCCGCUCCACGACUGAAUGAGGCUUUGGGGAGACAUUUAAACAAUCCACAACAUCAAGGUAACACAGAAAUGAACUCGUCUUCUCAAUGAAAACAUAUGACAAAAUAUAUACACAAAGAGAUGAGAAACAGUGCGUCAAAGGGUUCUCCAGACCUGGUAAUAUCAUGAGCAAUGGCGUGUUGAGUUGAGAUGGGCCAUUCUACUUGGAGAGACCUUGAAAGAAGACUUUCACAUAUGAGUGUGUUAAUUCAUAGGGUUUUUUUAUUAUUAUUUUACUUUGAGAUGAGAUCUUGCUAUCUUGCCCAAGCUACUCCGGAACUCCAGAUUGAAUCUCUCAUUUUAGCCACCUGAGUAGCUGAAAUUACAAACAUAUACUAGCACACUUACCUCUAAUUCAUAGAGUAAAUGCGAGCUAUGUAUGAAGUGUUACCAUUUAAAUGUGCAAACAAUGUUCUCAAACUGUUGCAGACAUUGAGCAUUUGAUUAUACUGACAACUGUCUUCUGUUAGGCAGGGCUUCAUACUCACACCCCAUCUCCUUUUAGACCUUUAAUCUGCACCACAGCUAUGUGUGUUAGGUGGGCACAGAGUCAGAACAGUGGGAAGUUCAACUGUACAUGGCUGGAUUUGAAAAAAAUUUUUUUUUUGUCUUUUUCCUUUUUUAUCGGUACUGGGGAUUGAACUCAUGACUGCCUGCUUGCAAGCAGGUACUUAUGCCGCUGAGGUAAAUCCCCAGUCCCCUGGAUUUGAAAAUUUCAAGUUGACUAUUUUGUAAAUCUGUAGGUCAUAGCACAGAGUCCUGGAAAGUAGCCAUCCCAGAAGAGCUGGCCUGUAACUGCUAACUCACCAGUGGGUAGUGAGAAAGUCCUCAAGUGCUAUCAUUAUGUUUCUAUUCAAAAGCGAAAGUAUUGGCUAGUGAUUGCUAAAGUGCUUUUGUCUGCUGAGAUUAUAUGAUCUAAUUUUCUAAGCAGCCACUAAAACAUGAGUUUGUCUUCACACUGCAGAAAUGGAGUGUAGAAAUGAAGUGUAAGGCAAUUCUUGGCAGAAUUAGAAUUAAAACAUCCAGGGCCAGACCAAAAGUCAGGAAACAGAAGCGUGAGGAGCAGGACAGCGUGUAAAGUAGAAGGUCAACACUAAUCUGCAGUGCGAAAGCCACUGAACUUGAGCCCACAAAUGUCCAAGGCUUAGUGAAUCAUCGGGAAAGAAGCAAAAAUAGCAAACAGUUACCAGAGGAACCUUGAGUUCAGAGACGUUGGAUGUCUUCACAUAAUGUCAUAACUGAAUUCCUGGUGAGAAACUGGAGAAAAUUUAUCUUAGAAGAACAGAAAGAAGAAAAAGAAUGAAUCUGUCUAGUCGGUGAGAAGAAAAAGAAAAGUUAACUUCCAUUGGGGAGAACAGAAUGCGAGUUACUGUGCCGUGAAGAAAAAGUCAAGAAAAAUUCUAGGAGAAAUCAAAUCACUGAAUAUAUUUAAAAGUUCAUAGAAAGCUACAGAACUGGUGAUUAAAUGAAGUUUAGGUUUGUAAUUAAAAGGUGACUGUUGAAGGCUAAACUAUUUCAAAUGAGCAGUGGACUGACUCUUAUUGCAACGUGGUGAGGCAGAUGCUUAUAAAUUACUCAAGGUUUGUGAUGAAAGCAGGAGUGAACACGCAUACUGAUUCACUGGCAUCAAAAGGAGGUGAAAGCACCUCAAGAAUAUCUCCAAAAAGUAGAACCCUCAAGUUGAAUAUGAACUAUAAAUUCAAUCAGAGAAAACGAAUCAAAGUGAAAGAUGUUAGCGGGGAACAGAAUCAGUUAAGGAAGGAAGCUGUAUAACGUUUUGGUCUGCAAUCUUGGUAUCAAUCUCAUAAUGUCAUAGUGGAACUCAGAACUUCCUAGUGUGGAAUGGAACAGGGCGAAGUAUUCCUCAUGCAUUUGUGUUGAUGGCAAUGCAAACAGAUUCACUACACGGCCAGUCAUGGAGGUUAUCACAGAAAUGGUGCUGUGUGACGUCACCCUGAGACCUCACAGUGGGGAGAGAUGCGGUGGCAGGAGGCAGGGACAGUGACCAUCCUGGCCAUGUCUCAGCGCAGACUGAGGACUAGUGUCUUCUCUUAGUUGUUUGUUUGUUUGGCUGGUUAGGUUUUGGCUUGACUAUUUUAUAUGAGGGAUUAAACUCACAGUAUUGUGCUUAGCCAGGCAAACAUUUGAACCACUGACCUAAAUCUCUGGUCUCAUCUCUUAUUUUUUUUUUAAAAAAAUGCAAGUUAUAAAAUGAAUUCUAGGAGUAAAAUAUAAAGUUAGAAACUAUUUUAAAAUUUUAAAAAAUGUGUAACUAUAGAAAAAAGCUUACAGAAUGAUUAUAUAAAGACUACAGUUUUGUAAAGCAGUACAAUGUGUUUUAAAAUGUUAUUAUAAAAGAGUUUAAAGGUAAAAAUAUUUAAAAGUUUAUAAAGUGAAGUAUUUUCAAGUGAACAACAGCUAACUUACUGCUAAAUAAACAACUUUUAUAAUUUCUGCAUGGCCUGCGUGCCCAGAUUAUAAAGCCUCCCACAGUGCAGAGACAUGUUUCCGCAAUUCACAAUGUCUUAGCACACACUCACUGACUUACUCUGAGAAACUUCCAGGAAACUCCACAAACGGUGAUUGCCUUGAACAACUCUUCCAUGCCUGUACCAUAUAUAUUUGUACCUUUUUAUGUGCAAUCCUGAUUAGAUGCAGUUUUAUAGCCCCAGAGCAAUACCGUGUGCCUUUUAGCCCAGGUGUGUGGCGGUCUAUAACAUUUCUGUCUGUGUAACUAUGCUCCAUGAUCAAACAGGUGAAAUCACCUAAGGCCACAUUGUUCAGGAGGUAUAAUAUAGCUAACUGAUAUGCAACUGUGUUUAAACUGUAUAAUGAUACUUUUUAGUACUUGUAAAAUUCUCAACAAAAUACCUUGUUUCUACAUGGCAUAUUUUCAGAAGGAUCUAUUUCUCACAGUGUGUGUAGCUAAGGAAACUCUUUCACUUUUAACCUAAGUUCCCUAAUACUCUAUCACAUACAUGUAAAUAGACUGCAGUAACUGGUGGGUUAAUGUUUUAAAGUAGCUCCUAAUGCUAAAACCCUUCUAUGAAACAACCAGCAGACAUUCAAGAGCUGAUUCCUUUUCGUUGGUGAAGGAGAAACAUCAGAUAUAAAAACUGCCUCUUCACUAUGCAAAAGAGGAGUAAUUAUGUAUACACUUGGUAAUCAAUUCAAAUGCCGCACUCGUAUUUGACCACUGAGUCAAGCAGAUACACGAAACAUAUUGUAACACCAGUUCCACUUUCUCUGAAACCGUAUAGUCCACCUGGACAGCACCACGCACAGAGCUGGAGAGGGGAAAAACAGUUUCCAUCCCUCAGCUAACUUUAUGGGUAAAUACUAGAAAAGCAGUAAACAAGAAAAGAAAGCAAGAACUGGUUUUACAAGCAGGCAUCUGAUGGAAUCCUGAUAGAGUUUAAACAUAGAAGUGCUGUGAGCCGCUGACUGGAGGUGGGGAGACUGCGGGAAUCAUAGUGCUUUGAUUUGUACACGGAGCUCACACACGCACUGUCCCAUCAGGCAUCUGUCUCUAGCGUUCUUAACUCAGCGAGUCUACAAGAUUCCCAUUGGGCAUGUGUACACUUCUCAGCGUAAAUCAAUGAACAAAAUAGCAAUAAAUUUUUCAAUAAACUCUG